AAUGAUCCACCAAACACCCCAUUCCUUUUCUUUUUCUUUUGCCUGCGCAGUACACACACACGACACCCUCCCCGUUCUAAAUCAACAUUUGACAAAUUGAAAUCAUAUGGGAAUUUAAAGGAAGUAGUCAGCUAGCAUUAAAAAAAUCAAGGAUUCAUCAUUUUCAUCUUACUCUUCUUCAUUCUUAUCUCAAGAAUAUCAGAUUGGUUUUGAAUAGACGUGGAGACUAGAUUUGCUCAUUCUCAAGUUUGCUCGCCCUUUUGCUCUUUGAUCGCUAAGGUAACCAACAGUAAGUCUUAGAUCAUCUUGGCAUUUUACGGCCAUUCUUUUGACUUUGGACGUACAAUUAGCAUCAGACAUAUGAGAACCAUCAUCUUAUUAGUUCUAAUCGUACUAGACUGUCCAAAUAUUUAUCUUGUAUUCAGUGGGCCAAAUUCCAUAUAUGGAUGACUUGUAUCCAUAUUCUGGGGUUCACAUUUGAACGAUUGUACUUGUAUUAGACUUGUAUUUGGUAUUAAAUGGAUGUAAUUUCUAUUA